GGUCAGGGAUGAUCUAGGCAUAGCUAUCUAUGCCUGUUGUACCACAACUCCAACCAAUGCUCCAGAAAGAUACCAGAACAGCCAGAAGCAUUCUUAACAAAAACAGCUAUGAAUACAGCUAUCUUUUAACAACUAA